rnacentral:rRNA from 1 species
GAUGAACGCUGGCGGCGUGCCUAAUACAUGCAAGUCGAGCGAACAGAUGAGGAGCUUGCUCCUCUGACGUUAGCGGCGGACGGGUGAGUAACACGUGGAUAACCUACCUAUAAGACUGGGAUAACUUCGGGAAACCGGAGCUAAUACCGAAUAAUAUAUUGAACCGCAUGGUUCAAUAGUGAAAGAAGGUUUUGCUGUCACUUAUAGAUGGAUCCGCUCAUCAUUAGCUAGUGGGUAAGGUAAAGGCUUACCAAGGCGACGAUGCGUAGCCGACCUGAGAGGGUGAUCGGCCACACUGGAACUGAGACACGUUCCAGACUCCUACGGGAGGCAGCAGUAGGGAAUCUUCCGCAAUGGGCGAAAGCCUGACGUAGCAACGCCGCGUGAGUGAUGAAGGUCUUCGGAUUGUAAAACUCUGUUAUUAGGGAAGAACAAAUGUGUAAGUAACUAUGCACGUCUUGACGGUACCUAAUCAGAAAGCCACGGCUAACUACGUG